AAUCCUAUUGUAGUUAGAGAAACAGCGAACAGCAUGGAUCCUGACCAGACUGCGCGGAUGCACAGGCUGGUCUGGAUCCAUGCUGGUCGCAAAGCCACUAUGUUGGUUUUCUCAUGCCGUGGCUCAUAUAAAAUGUUCAUCACGUCAGUGUCUUCUUUAACAUAUAACCAUGCAUUUGUUAACACUUAUGUAAAAUUUAUCAUUUGCUUUAGCUUUUUCCAUAUUGGUUAAUAUAUAGUUGAAUCUGCUUUAAUGGCCAUUUGUAUUAGUUAACUUUAUAAAAUCAACAUUUUGUUCUAAUUUCAACUUGUCUUAAGCAGCCAUUUGCCUUAACCUUUAGCCUGCUGGCAGCAAGUGAUUUUGCCUUUGCAACCAGUGCAGACCCAAGAUCAGUCUGCUAUUCAGUCAGUGAGUUUUCAGUGAACAACAACUUUGAAUAACAAGUGGUACUGCCAAAAUUGAAUGAUAGACCAGUCCAUUUUAGAAAUAAAGGUUAAGCAGCAAGUUACACCCUUGGCUGGCUGCUUAAUAGAGGUGUUACUGUAUUUGUAUUAUUAGAUUAUGUUUUUAGUAAAAUAAGACAUAGACCAUGUGAGAUUAUUUAUUACAUAUACACGUUACCAUAAAUCAUGAGCAGUUCAGAAAAUCAUUGAAAUCAAAUAUAUGAUAAGAGUCAUAGAUAUACUACGUGUCAUCUUUAGACGUAAUAUAAUAUAUAUAUAAUAGCCAGUGUAAGUGCAAUAUCUAUUGUUUUAGUUAUAUUUUUUUUAUAUAACACUUUUGUAAGUUUUUAGCUUAGAACUUCCAUUUAUAGUUUUAGAAUAUACUCCGUGUCCUUGUAAGAAAGAAUCACGAACUUGUAAUCAUGUUUAGAGAACAGACGAGCUGCAUCAGGGUAAAAUGUACUUUUGUUUUAUGGGUUUCUUUUUGAUUUCCAAGAAUUUAAGUUCUUCAUGUCAUAUUUCAAAGAACAGUUAUCAAAGAACAGUUAUCAUAAUUUGAGCCGCGCCAUGAGAAAACCAACAUAGUGCGUUUGCGACCAGCAUGGAUCCAGACUAGCCUGCGCAUCCGCGUCUGGUCAGGAUCCAUGCUGUUCGCUAAUGGUUUCUCUAAUUCCAAUAGGCUUUGAAAGUGAACAGCAUGGAUCUUGACCAGACUGCGCGGAUGCGCAGGCUGGUCUGGAUCCAUGCUGGUCGCAAACGCACUAUGUUGGUUUUCCCAUGGCGUGGCUCAUUUAUAUUUGUUGGGGAUUAACUUGUGGAUCUCAUGGAUGCAUCCAUUCAUAGAAUAUUAAGUCCCAGAGAACAAUUAAAAUACUGUUAGUUUUAUCUCUGAAAGUAUGAAAUCUACAAAUUCAACCCCAGUGAAAUCACAGUUUAAGACCAAACCACAAAAUUUCACUACAGCAUAAUUAAUUGAUUUCACAGUAAAAGGAAAGAUAAAACUGAAUUGUAUGCUGAAAUUGAAAGGUAUUUGAUGUUUACAACAGAACAAUAACUUUACAUCAAUAAUUUCCGGUACCUUUUGCCACAACUAUGUUUAAUCACAUAGAAUUGUAUAGACUUGAGAAUAUAUUGCUAGUCAAAACAGUUACAUGAGCCGUGCCAUGAGAAAACCAACAUAGUGGCUUUGCGACCAGCAUGGAUCCAGACCAGCCUGCACAUCUGCGCAGUCUGGUCAGGAUCGGUGCUGUUCGCUUUCAAAGCCUAAUGGAAUUAGUGAAACUAAUAGCGAACAGCAUGGAUCCAGACCAGACUGCACAUUUGCGCAGGCUGGUCUGGAUUCAUGCUGGUUCCAAACCCACUAUGUUGGUUUUCUCAUGACACGGCUCAUAUCAAUGAUUGCUCACUUUGAAUUUGCCAGUUUUGUUUUAUAUGCUGAUUUAAGAUAAAGUUUAUCACAUUUUUAGCACGACUUUACAAAAUAUAUAGAGAACUAUCCUACUUGCACCGGCAUUGACUUGACAUUCAUAUCCACACAUCUUGGUUAAAAUUUUGAUGCAGUCUCUUUGUGACUAUGUGCUUCAAACUUAAAAUAGUUGUUCCUUAUCAUCAUCCACAUCAUAUUGGCAUAAGGGUUAUCACUCUGGCACUAGUAUUUCAUGAAUUAAUUCUUUUUUUACAAAAAAAUUCUGGAUCAGGUUUUGAUGCACUUUUACUCUAUCUCUGUUAUUUGACUCAAACUUGAACGGUUAUUCAACAUCAUCAUCCACAUUUAGGGGUAUUUAUAACUCCAGUGAUUGCUCUAAUUUCCUCAGAUAUACCCAAUAUCACUACCAAGCAUUGAAAUAGUCGAGUGCGCUGUCUCCUCAGUCAACUCUUGUUAGUUUGACUAAAUACUUCGGGAAUAAAAAAGUUUGGGAAUAUUUUUUUCAUUGUUUUUGAUGCUAUAUUUGCUAGACUCACCACAUAGAGACUCUAUUAGAAACUGUUGGUGAUCUUUCAUUAUGUAUCAUAAUGUGUUAGGACUGUAAAUUUUACUGUUUACUGAGAAUUGCAUACAGCUAUUUAAAAUGGGGAGUAAUUUUUUUUAAUCCAUUUUUUUUUGCUUUGAUUCAAGCAUGAAACAUACUUUUGUAAACAUUAUCAUGUUACUGAAUUUUGACUGAAUUGCCAAAGUUCUAGGUAUGCUUUUGUAUUAUGCAUAAUAUAACCUUUUAUUAAAAUGCUUUUGUUUUAAAACAAACCUUCAUUGUAAAUAGUGCUUUUUGAUAUGUAGCAGGGAUUUUGAGAUUAUAUUGUUACUUGUUAUUAUUUGAAUAAUGCAUAGAAGAAUGUUACUAUGUAGAUGUUUGGCUUAUACAGUUUUAAUAAAUUGGUAUUUUAGUAAAAAAAAAUGUAAGAAGGAAAUCCUUAGAUUAGGAAUUGGUGUAAGCAGUGCAAUGUUUAUAGAAUACGAACAUGUACAUGUAAGAAGGGAAUUCAUAGAUAUGGCGUGUAAGAAGUACAAUGUAUGUAGAAUGUGAAUAUAUACACAUAAGAAGGGAAUCCCUAGUUGUGGCAUUGGUGUAAGCAGAUAGAUGAAUGUUGAAUGUUAAAAAGAAAAUUCUUAAAUCAGGUAUUAGUGUAAGCAGUACAAUUUACGUAGAAUGUGAACAUUUACAUGCAAGAAGGGAAUCCUUGGAUCAGGGUUGGUGUAAGCAGUAUAAUGUAUGUUCCUAUAUGUGAAAGUAAGGAUCCUCAGAUAGGGAAAUGUUGUAGCAGUACUGUGUAUGUAGAAUAUAAAUAUACAUGGAAGAAGGGGAUCUCUAGACCAAGGAUUGGUGAAAGCAGUGGAGUGUAUGUUGAAACUUCUUUCCUCAAAUUUCAAGGAAACAGGCAUUGUAUUUUGAGAUAACUUCUAUUCAGAUUUAAAAUUAUAUUUGCUGAUGGUGUUUCUCACUACAAAUGUUGUGGUAAUCUCCUAUAUAUGUACAUGUUAACAUUACACAUACAUUUUUAUAUACAUUUAGAGUACAUAGCAAUUUGAAAUGCUUUUUGUUCCUUGUUUUUGUUUAUUUCAUAUUUGCAAUGCAAAAUCUUGCUACUUGGAUUCAUCAAGUCACAAGUAUGUAAGAAUCUGGCUAACAGGGCCUCAGAAAUACUUUGACAUAAAAUAAGUUGCAUUUUGUCAAAUUUGACUUUAGCGGAGUGAAAACAGAAACAUUAAGAAGGAACUAUAACAGAAUUUGGAGGAAAAAAAUGGUUAAGAUACCGGUAGUCGAAAUUUCAAGACAGUAAAGUUUCAACUGUACAUUUAUUAGCAUUUGAGUUAUCAAAACACAGAAUGAUGUUAAUAUCAACAGACCUUCAUUUACAGUUUGAGAGAGUUCAAGCAAAAGCUUAUUAUACAAUGGCAGUGUAAGUACUGUUUUCACCAACCGAAAUCUUUACUUUCUCAAUGUUGCCAUGUAGAUAGUUUGUUACGAGUGCUGGUUUUUAAUCAUUUAGUUUUGCUUAGCGCAACUUUUUGGGGCUAAUUUUUUAUCUGCUACAUAAACAUUAUUUAUUUUGUUUUGAAUUGUGUAAAAAAUACAAUAUUUUACAUUCAUGAUAUUAAGUUGAAGUAAAUCUUCUGUUAUUUUGCCAGGAAGCGAACUUGCCAGUAAAUGUGUGUGUGUAUGCUUGCAUAAUCCAGUUGUUUCAUUAUUUUGUUUGCAUUUAUAAAAAAUAAUAAACCAUUUAAAAAUAGCAUGGAAAUAUUUUCCGUAUUUCGUCAGAAUGGAAAUAUUUUCCAUAUUUCGUCAGAAAUAUUUUCUGUAUUUCGUCAGAAUGGAAAUAUUUUCCAUAUUUCGUUAGAAAUGUGCACGAGUACAAAUUUUCCUAGGUAUUUUAGUUGUGUUAGGGUAAUGCCUUGAGAUUAGGAUAAAAACUUCAAUCAUUAAAAAAACAAAAAGUAAGGUAUUUUAACUCUUAAAAAUUUCUAAUUGGUAUUAUUUUAUUUAAAUUGUGACAAUGUUGUUUUCUCAGCGGAUUGUUUACAGAUCAUCAAAAUUGCUGGAGUAAGAUGAUACUCGGCAUGCUUGAUAUUUAGUGUAAAAUGAUGACUAAAAUCACAAUUUUAUGUUUUGUAUUUUUGACAAUCUUACAUCUGUGUUCAUUUUUCAUGUGUAACAUUGAUAUAAUUUUUCAGGUUGUUUUUAAAUCCAUAUAACACAAAGGGGUUAUUUAUUUCACAUUCAAGAACAGUGUCCUAAAUGUCUGAAGAAAUCUUUCGACAUUGUUGUCAGUGGAACAAAAUAGAAAACUGGUCAGUCUGAACAUGUUGUUCCCAACAUUCCAGAACACUGUUCUACUUGACCGGUAUUUAUUUGAAUAGGAACAUGUUCAGAAAACUUCGAAUUCUGUUAGUAAAGGGGAAUUUUAAGUGGUAAGCUGUUGAAUUUUGGGUCGAGUAUUUCAAAAAGAAGGUAUUUUAAAAAAAGGUAUUUUUAAAGAAAAAUAGUUUGACAUUUUAUAUGUCUUACCCAAUUACAUUAUUGUUACUGUAGUUUUUUAACAGCUAUCUGUCAUGUAUCUGGUGUAAAAAUUGAGUUGAAUAUUCAAGCUGGAUAAUAAAACUGAUAUUUGAUGAAGUUAGUUAUAUAUGCUAGCAUUUUUCCAUGAAGUGAGGUAUGGUGUAUUUAAGACAAUUCUUAUUUUUUUUUUGUUUGUAUUUGUUUUGUAGCUAUAUAACAGACAGUUUUAAAUUGAAACUCAGUAUGAUUUUGCCAGUAAAUUUUGUUUCUUAUAUGAUUAUUUUAUGUUACUACACCUGCUUUCUGGGUGUGCAAUGUUAUAUAAAAUACAAUCAUUUUUUAGCCGAUUAUGCUCCAUGUUGUACAUGUAUGUUUAAGAUUAAAUUGGUCAUACGUAGUGUUAAGUUUAAGUGUACUUGUGAUGGUUUCAUUUAAAAUCAUUUAGCAUACCAGUUCAUUUUUGUUCAGUUUAGAGGAAGCUCUGCUGUUUGACGCACAUUGAAAUGUUUAAUUUGCAUUUCAUCGACUAUAAAAUGUUUAAUGGGCAGUAAAAUCCCAGGAAGUCUUCCUGUUAUUGUCUGGCUUCAUUUCCUUGGCUUACUGCGAAAAAGAUUCAGAAUAUAAAGAAAGAUACUGAAUUUAGUACCAAAUUACAGUACUUAAGCAUGGCUCUGUAUGACCUAGAAAAAAUGUACUGAUGGUAGAAACAUAUUGUAGUACCAGGUUUCCGUAACUUAAGGGACAUGAUUAUUGUGUAUAAAUGUGUUAUGUUAGUUGAAGAUUGUUUGUGGCUGGAACAUAUUGUUUCGCAUAUAGUUGUGUAUGUUAGUUGGUUUGUGGCUGGAACAUAAUGUUUUGCAUAUAACUGUGUAUGUUGGUUUCUGGCUGGAACAUGAUUGUUUUGCAUAUAUUGUAUACAUUUUAUGAAAAUGGUUUGUGGCUAGAACAUAUUGUUUUGCAAAUAAACUGUGUAUGUAAGUUGAAGACUGUUUUUAGCCGAAAUAUAUUGUUUUGCAUAAAAUUUGUGUACGAGAAGUUGCUGUUAGAUAUGUUAUGUUUUUCAGUAUUUGAUACAAUGCUUUUUGAUACUCUGAUGCCAUUUAAAUAAGGAUCUGUAUUACAUUGCUUGCAUUCCAAAGAGGUCAUAAUAAAACUAUGAAAACUAAA